UACGAAGGGGGCUAGCGUUGCUCGGAAUUACUGGGCGUAAAGCGCACGUAGGCGGCUUUCUAAGUCGGGGGUGAAAUCCUGGAGCUCAACUCCAGAACUGCCUUCGAUACUGGAGAGCUCGAGUCCGGGAGAGGUGAGUGGAACUGCGAGUGUAGAGGUGAAAUUCGUAGAUAUUCGCAAGAACACCAGUGGCGAAGGCGGCUCACUGGCCCGGUACUGACGCUGAGGUGCGAAAGCGUGGGGAGCAACA
rnacentral:rRNA from 1 species